rnacentral:rRNA from 1 species
CCCGGGAACAAGGAGCUGGUAUCAGGCACACUCAAACAUGCCCACGACACCUUGCUCAGCCACACCCCCAAGGGUACUCAGCAGUGAUAAACAUUGACACAUAAGUGAAAACUUGACUCAGUUAAAGCUAAGAGGGCCGGUAAAACUCGUGCCAGCCACCGCGGUUAUACGGGAGGCCCAAGUUGUUAGAAGCCGGCGUAAAGGGUGGUUAAGAACAAGCUUAAAUUAAAGCCGAACGCCUUCUAGGCUGUUAUACGCAUCCGAAGGUAAGAAGCCCAAUUACGAAAG